rnacentral:rRNA from 1 species
UACGUAGGGUGCAAGCGUUAAUCGGAAUUACUGGGCGUAAAGCGUGCGCAGGCGGUCGUGUAAGACAGGUGUGAAAUCCCCGGGCUUAACCUGGGAAUUGCAUUUGUGACUGCACGGCUAGAGUGUGUCAGAGGGGGGUAGAAUUCCACGUGUAGCAGUGAAAUGCGUAGAUAUGUGGAGGAAUACCGAUGGCGAAGGCAGCCCCCUGGGAUAACACUGACGCUCAUGCACGAAAGCGUGGGGAGCAAACAGG